UUGAUUUAUUUGUUUUUUGAUUCAGAUAAUUCAUAUUAAGACAAUGGUUAUGGGUCCCCGACGACGCCCGAGGGCAGCCGCCGAAGCAACAUGGUAUGUUCACAGGGGUUUGGGAGUUGUAAACUCGAUAAUGAUCCCUCCGCUGGUUCACCAACGGAGA
rnacentral:misc_RNA from 1 species